CCCAUGAGGGUUAAGUCAGUGCUGGAAAAUAAUGGUGGCUGCGCCCAAUUUGGACUUUUUCCACUUAGGGGUGUACUCACUUUUGUUGCCAACGGUUCAUUAAUGUGUGUUGUUAUUUUGAGGGGACCACAAAUUUACACUGUUAUACAGUACAUUGUAGCAGAAUGGCAUUUCUUCAGUGUUGUCACAUGAAAAGGUUUAAUAAAAUAUUUACAAAAUGUGAGGGGUGUACUCACUUUUGUGAGAUAUUAUAUGGGUUUGUUCUUUGUCACAUGCGUAUUGGUUUUGAGUUGAACACUAUAAGCCUGAUGUGUGCUACUGCAUCUAGAUUGUUGAUGUACUAUAUAUCCGUUUGCCAUGUUUUCAUUUUUUUGUCAAUCUUCUAUUGAGGUAUGGAAAUAAGAAUGUUACAUGCAGAAAAAUAGUCAAGCCAUAAUGUAUGAGAAUAGCAUAUCAUUUCACAAUCAC